GCUCGUCGGAAGCAAGGAAUAAAUUGUAUGGUUGCGUGGAUCGUCUCAUGUAUCCUGUGUUUUUUCCACUCGACAGAAUACCACUGGGACAAACAGCGGUCACAACCUGGGUCAUCCUCUGCACCUUCAGCAAGAUGGGUGGUCAUCUGAUCAGGACCCAUUACGUCCUUGGUGUGGCAAGAUUUUGAAAUGCUUUACAGAGAAGAAGACAAUUGUGGAGGCAUGUUGCAACUUGCAAACAAAAGGCUUGAUUGAGCAUGAUGGUGCUGCGGUACAACCACGGCUAUUCUGUAUGUUGAUGAAAAUGAGUAAUAUUCGGAGCUAGGUUGUACCCUUUCCUUUUUAGGGUUUUCUUAGACUGAGUUUUUACCUAGAAAGGUUUUUAAUGAGGUAGCCAAAAUAUCAAUAAAGCUCAAUAUUUAAUUUCAA